rnacentral:lncRNA from 1 species
UUUUGGGGUUGGUUAUGGGAUUUUGGGGGUCGGUUAUGGGGGUCAGUUGGGGUGAUAGGGUCGGUUAUGGGGCUUGGGGUCAGUUAUGGGGUUUGGGGUCACUUGUGGGGUUGUUGGUUAUGGGGUUUUGGGGAUGGUUAUGGGGUUUGGGGUCAGUUAUGGGGUUUUGGGGUCACUUGGGUUGUUGGUUAUGGGGUCAGUUAUGGGGUGUGGGGUCACUUGGGUUGUUGGUUAUGGGGUUUGGGGUCAGUUGUGGGGUUGGUUAUGGGGUUUUGGGGUUGGUUAUGGGA